rnacentral:rRNA from 1 species
CAGUCGCCGCGGUAAUACAGAGGGUGCAAGCGUUAAUCAGAAUUACUGGGCGUAAAGCGCGCGUAGGUGGUUUGUUAAGUUGGAUGUGAAAUCCCCGGGCUCAACCUGGGAACUGCAUCCAAAACUGGCAAGCUAGAGUAUGGUAGAGGGUGGUGGAAUUUCCUGUGUAGCGGUGAAAUGCGUAGAUAUAGGAAGGAACACCAGUGGCGAAGGCGACCACCUGGACUGAUACUGACACUGAGGUGCGAAAGCGUGGGGAGCAAACAGGAUUAGAUACCCCCGUAGUCCCUGUCUCUUAUAC